GUGCUCGCUUCAGCAGUACAUAUACUAAAAUUGGAAUGAUACAGAGAAGAUUAGUAUAACCCCUGUGUACGGAUGACAUGCAAAUUCAUGAAACGUUACAUAUUUUU
ensembl:snRNA U6 U6 spliceosomal RNA